UACGUAGGGUGCAAGCGUUGUCCGGAAUUAUUGGGCGUAAAGAGCUCGUAGGCGGUCUGUCGCGUCGGCUGUGAAAACCCUCGGCUCAACCGGGGGCCUGCAGUCGAUACGGGCAGACUAGAGUGCUGUAGGGGAGACUGGAAUUCCUGGUGUAGCGGUGAAAUGCGCAGAUAUCAGGAGGAACACCGGUGGCGAAGGCGGGUCUCUGGGCAGUAACUGACGCUGAGGAGCGAAAGCGUGGGGAGCGAACAGG
rnacentral:rRNA from 1 species